GGGGGCAGCGGGACGGGUCCUGCUCAGGCACGGAGAUAAUCGCUCUGGAGGGGCUGGGGUGUCUCUGGAAGGAUGGGGGUGUCUCUGGAAGGUCGGGGCUCCUCAGCCCCGCAGAUAAUCGUUCUUGAGGCGGCUGAGGCUGGGACUGGGGGUGUCUCUGGAAGGACGGGGGUGUCUCUGGAAGGAUGGAGGUGUCUCU